rnacentral:rRNA from 1 species
CCUACGGGUGGCAGCAGUGGGGAAUAUUGCACAAUGGGGGAAACCCUGAUGCAGCGACGCCGCGUGAGUGAAGAAGUAUUUCGGUAUGUAAAGCUCUGUCAGCAGGGAAGAAAAUGACGGUACCUGACCAAGAAGCCCCGGCUAACUACGUGCCAGCAGCCGCGGUAAUACGUAGGGGGCAAGCGUUAUCCGGAUUUACUGGGUGUAAAGGGGGCGUAGACGGCAGGGCAAGUCUGGAGUGAAAGGCGGGGGCGCAACCCCCGGACUGCUCUGGAAACUGCCAGGCUGGAGUGCAGGAGAGGUAAGUGGAAUUCCUAGUGUAGCGGUGAAAUGCGUAGAUAUUAGGAGGAACACCAGUGGCGAAGGCGGCUUACUGGACUGUAACUGACGUUGAGGCUCGAAAGCGUGGGGAGCAAACAGGAUUAGAUACCCCAGUAGUC